AGAGUUUGAUCAUGGCUCAGGACGAACGCUGGCGGCGUGCUUAACACAUGCAAGUCGAACGGUGAUCCAGGGCUUGCUCUGGUGAUCAGUGGCGAACGGGUGAGUAACACGUGAGUAACCUGCCCCUGACUCUGGGAUAACUGCUGGAAACGGUGGCUAAUACCGGAUAUGAGACCUUGCCGCAUGGUGUGGGUCUGGAAAGAUUUUUUGGUUGGGGAUGGGCUCGCGGCCUAUCAGCUUGUUGGUGGGGUGAUGGCCUACCAAGGCGACGACGGGUAGCCGGCCUGAGAGGGCGACCGGCCACACUGGGACUGAGACACGGCCCAGACUCCUACGGGAGGCAGCAGUGGGGAAUAUUGCACAAUGGGCGAAAGCCUGAUGCAGCGACGCCGCGUGAGGGAUGGAGGCCUUCGGGUUGUAAACCUCUUUCAGCAGGGAAGAAGCGAGAGUGACGGUACCUGCAGAAGAAGCGCCGGCUAACUACGUGCCAGCAGCCGCGGUAAUACGUAGGGCGCAAGCGUUGUCCGGAAUUAUUGGGCGUAAAGAGCUCGUAGGCGGUUUGUCGCGUCUGCUGUGAAAACUUCAGGCUCAACCUGGGGCUUGCAGUGGGUACGGGCAGACUAGAGUGCGGUAGGGGUGACUGGAAUUCCUGGUGUAGCGGUGGAAUGCGCAGAUAUCAGGAGGAACACCGAUGGCGAAGGCAGGUCACUGGGCCGCAACUGACGCUGAGGAGCGAAAGCAUGGGGAGCGAACAGGAUUAGAUACCCCAGUAGUCC
rnacentral:rRNA from 1 species